rnacentral:rRNA from 1 species
UACGGGGGGGGCAAGCGUUGUUCGGAAUUACUGGGCGUAAAGGGCUCGUAGGUGGCCAACUAAGUCGGACGUGAAAUCCCUCGGCUUAACCGGGGGAACUGCGUCUGAUACUGGAUGGCUUGAGUUUGGGAGAGGGAUGCGGAAUUCCAGGUGUAGCGGUGAAAUGCGUAGAUAUCUGGAGGAACACCGGUGGCGAAGGCGGCAUCCUGGACCAACACUGACGCUGAGUGAGCGAAAGCCAGGGGAGCAAACGGG